rnacentral:tRNA from 1 species
UGGGGUAUAGCCAAGAGGUUAAGGCAUCGGUUUUUGAUACCGACACCCCUGGUUCGAAUCCAGGUACCCCAG